GUGCUCGCUUCGGCAGCACACAUACUAAAAUUGGAGCAAUAGAGAGAUUAGCAUGGCCCCUGUGCAAGGAUGACAUGCAAAUUUGUGAAGUGUUCCAUAUUUUU